rnacentral:pre_miRNA from 1 species
AAACCGCCCCCAAGUUAUGCAACUAUAGCAGUUUUGGCCCCCUAAGGCCAAUUUUUGGUAAAAAAUAUAUAAAAAAAAUAACACAUGGCACCUCACUUAGGGUGCCACGUCAGCGUAGACCGAGUCAAAAUUGGUUUUGGGGACCAAAACUGCCACAGAUGCAAAACUUAGUGGGCGGUUU